rnacentral:rRNA from 1 species
GGAGGAAAGCAGGGGAUCGCAAGACCUUGCGCUUUUGGAGCGGCCGAUGCCUGAUUAGCUUGUUGGUGAGGUAAAAGCUCACCAAGGCUCCGAUCAGUAGCUGGUCUGAGAGGACGACCAGCCACACUGGGACUGAGACACGGCCCAGACUCCUACGGGAGGCAGCAGUGGGGAAUUUUGGACAAUGGGGGCAACCCUGAUCCAGCCAUGCCGCGUGAGUGAAGAAGGCCUUCGGGUUGUAAAGCUCUUUCAGCCGGAACGAAACGGUCACGGUUAAUACCCGUGACUACUGACGGUACCGGGAGAAGAAGCACCGGCUAACUACGUGCCAGCAGCCGCGGUAAUACGUAGGGUGCGAGCGUUAAUCGGAAUUACUGGGCGUAAAGCGUGCGCAGGUGGUUUUGUAAGUCAGAUGUGAAAUCCCCGGGCUUAACCUGGGAACUGCGUUUGAAACUACAAAGCUAG